rnacentral:rRNA from 1 species
GAUGAACGCUGGCGGCGUGCCUAAUACAUGCAAGUCGAGCGAACGGACGAGAAGCUUGCUUCUCUGAUGUUAGCGGCGGACGGGUGAGUAACACGUGGAUAACCUACCUAUAAGACUGGGAUAACUUCGGGAAACCGGAGCUAAUACCGGAUAAUAUUAUGAACCGCAUGGUUCAAAAGUGAAAGACGGUCUUGCUGUCACUUAUAGAUGGAUCCGCGCUGCAUUAGCUAGUUGGUAAGGUAACGGCUUACCAAGGCAACGAUGCAUAGCCGACCCGAGAGGGGCGUCCCCCACACGGGAUCUGAGGCCCCUCCCAGACUCCUACGGUGGGCCGCAGUCGGGAAUCCUCCGCAAGGGGGGAAUGGCGGACGGUACAACGCCGGGGGAAGGAUGAAGGUCUUCGGAUCGUAAAGCGAUGUUAUUAGGAAGGAACAAAAGUGUAAGUAGCUGUGCAGAUCAUGACGGUACCCAAUCAAAAAGCCCCGGCUAACUCCGUG